CCAGAAAAAUCAUUUUUCUUCUCUGGGAAGGUGAACAUUUGUAGCAUUGAUUUCCCGGAUCUGGUAACAUGGCAAAAGAUGCCGGUCUAAUUGAAGCCAACGGAGAACUCAAGGUCUUCAUAGAUCAGAACCUUAGUCCCGGGAAAGGCGUGGUGUCCCUCGUGGCCGUUCACCCCUCCACAGUCAACCCGCUCGGGAAGCAGCUUUUGCCAAAAGCCUUUGGACAGUCCAAUGUCAGCAUUGCCCAGCAAGUGGUGAUUGGUAUGCCUCAGAGACCUGCAGCGUCAAACAGCCUGGUGGUAGGAAGCCCACACCCCCCCAGCACUCACUUUGCCUCUCAGAACCAGCCUUCUGACUCCUCACCUCGGUCUGCAGGGAAGCGCAUCAGGAAGGGAGAGAAUUGCAAGGGCCUGCGGCAUUUCUCCAUGAAGGUCUGCGAGAAGGUGCAGAGGAAAGGGACCACUUCCUACAACGAAGUGGCUGACGAGCUGGUCGCAGAGUUCAGUGCUGCCGACAACCACAUCUUGCCAAACGAGUCAGCUUAUGACCAGAAGAACAUAAGACGGCGCGUCUAUGAUGCCUUAAACGUGCUGAUGGCCAUGAACAUCAUCUCCAAGGAGAAGAAGGAGAUUAAGUGGAUUGGUCUGCCCACCAACUCGGCUCAGGAAUGUCAGAACUUAGAGGUAGAAAGACAGAGGAGACUUGAAAGAAUAAAACAGAAACAGUCUCAACUUCAAGAACUUAUUCUACAGCAAAUUGCCUUCAAGAACCUGGUGCAGAGAAAUCGGCACACUGAGCAGCAGGCCAGCCGGCCGCCACCACCCAACUCGGUCAUCCACCUGCCCUUCAUCAUCGUCAACACCAGCAAGAAGACCGUCAUCGACUGCAGCAUCUCCAACGACAAACUCGAGUAUCUAUUUAAUUUUGACAACACGUUUGAAAUCCACGGUGACAUAGAAGUGCUGAAGCGGAUGGGCAUGGCUUGCUGGCUGGAGUCCGGGAGCUGCUCUGCUGAAAACCUUAAAAUGGCCCGAAGUCUGGUCCCAAAGGCGCUGGAGCCGUAUGUGACAGAAAUGGCUCAGGGAACUGUUGGAGGCGUGUUCAUCACAGCGGCAGGUUCCACGUCUAAAGGCACAAGGUUCUCUGCCAGUGACCUGACCAACGGUGCAGAUGGGGUGCUGGCCACAAGCUCCAACGUGUCUCAGCACAGCGGCUCCAGGACGGAGACCCCGGUGUCCUAUGUCGGAGAGGACAAGGAGGAGGAUGAUGACUUCGAAGAGAAUGACAAGGACGACUGACGCCCUCCCUACUUCAAAUGCCGCUUCAGGAAAACAUUUAGGGAAAAGAAACUUUUUUUUUUUUUUAAUGUGGGUUUUCUGUUCCCUUUUGUCCUACUCCCAAGAAGACAUUGGUAAGCUAUUGAAUUUAGAUAUGCACCUUUGAUAAGCAAGGAUUGUUUCCCGUAGGUUUAGGACGUGCUGUGGAUGUGUUUUGAUACCAGUGUGCUGACGCAGAGUGUUUAUUUACUUUUUAGUAUUUUGUGUUUUCAUUUUCUAUUUUUCUUUAAGUGCAGAGUUCAGUUUUGCCCCUGAACAGUUUUUGCUGAGUUUGCUGGAGAAAUUGUAUUUCAUCCACAUGCAUGAAAAUAAAACGCCCUCCUGUUGUGGAUGGUGAGCACCUGACUCCGUUUAUUUGCCAUGAGUUUGGACGGCGCCCCCACUGGCAGAUAGUGAGACUCUGUGGAGUUUUCCAUUUGUUCAGUGGUACGGUGUCCAGAGCCCCAAGCAAACAGCAGAAUUCGACUUUUUAAACAAUAAACACCAUCAACCUUA